CAAUCGGCUCUGGGGAAAUCAAUCCGAAAAGUUCCAGUCCUAAAUCUUUGGUGGGAAUGCAAAGACCACCUUUCUGUAAAUCAAAGAGUGAAAUCUCCGCCUAUCUCUCAUGGGGACAAAUCCAAUGGUCUCCGUACUUUGAGUGGGUGGCCUAUGGGGAGACCAAGGAAAAUCAAGAAGGAAUCUUCAGAAUAGCCAAUUUCUAUCUCUCUAGAAACGGUCAAUUAUUUGAAAGUGAAGGAGUUCCAAUGAUUCAUUCAGGAGCUUAGAGGAACGGUGCCAUCAAAUGACGAACCAGAUGAGGUUCAGGAAACUCAACCCAUGGAGGAAGAAAUAAGGUACACUCAAUAAGCUAAGGAGAAUUAUAAGGAAAAUGUGCAUGUUUUUCGUUUUGGGGCUUCGGAGACUGGCCCGGAAAAGCCUCCACGGUCGUCGUGAGGAUUAUAUCCUGGAAAUGUCGAGGUCUAAAUCGCAGACCGGCAGUUCGCGAGCUAGCGGAGUUAAGAAAAUCCAUAUGCCCUGAUAUUAAUAUUCUAUCUGAAACAAGAGUGAAGGAAGCAAGGUUUGUCUCAAUCCUUAGAAAGCUAAAUUUCUUUUACUAUACUUAUGUUCCACCUGUAGGCUUAUCGUGCGGGUUUGGAAUGUGUUGGAAAAAAAGUAUCCUAUUUGAGAUGCAAGCAAAAAUUGCUCCACUGGGCUCUGUUCGCUACCUAUGGUCCGCCAUCGCUUUCUGGAUAGCGAAAGCUGGAACUAUUCACAACCAAGAAAUACUUCUUACUACUCCUUUGAUUUGAGAAGGAUGGUAAACUCUACUGGCUUGGUUGAUUUGUGGGCCUAUGGUACACCUUUUACAUGGAGAAAGAAUGAUUUCGAUGCGAGAGGCCUAAGUUCCUUGAAGAUGGCUCGAUUGCGUAGAUGUAUAGCCUCACCUGAUUUGAGGAUUCAUUUUCAUAGAGCAGUUGUUACGAACAUCCCUAUGUCCUCAUCCGAUCAUAACCCUAUUGUGCUCGACUCCUAUUUUGACAAAGAGAAAUUAAGAAGGGGGUUUAGAAAUGAAAAUAUGUGGUUCCGCGACCAAAGAUGCAUCUGGGUAGUUCGAAGGGCUUGGCAAUCUAUUAGUCACACUCACCCCAUGAGAAAUUUUGAGUUGAAGAUGCAACAAACUCGAAGUGAAUUGAGUAAGUGGAACAAAAUUCAGUUUAAGGAAGUGGCGAACUAGAUUGCAGAAGCCAAAGAUAGACUGAAGCAAGCGGAAUGUGCUAAUAAUCAGGACCCCUCGGAGGAAACCAAGGCUUGGGUUUGCCUCAACGAAUCUCUAAGGAGAGAGGAAAUUCAUUGGAAGCAAAAGUCUAGAAUAUCUUGGUUAAAAGAUGGCGACAAAAGCACUAAGUUCUUCCAUGCAUCAACGAUUAUCAGAAGAAGGGGCAAUUUCAUUCAUACCAUCAAGGAUUUACAAGGCAAUUGACUCUCAUCUCGGACGGCCAUCGAUACUUUUUUUUUUUGGGAAAUUAAAGGAUACGUUCAUUGCUCCCCCAACCCACGUCCCAUCUGAGUUGGACGGGCUAAUUACGAUCACUAUCUCGAAGACUCAAAAAGCCACAUUGAUUGAGAUACACAUUGAUGAGGAAAUUUAACAUGCAUUCCUUUCGAUUCACCCUGAUAAAGCCCCUGGGCAUGAUGGUAUGCCUGCAUCAUUUUUCAGGCAUCACUGAGAAACAGUUGAUGUUGAUGUUCUGAAUAUGGUGAAGCACUUCUUCUGCUACUCGGAGCUUCCAAAGUUCUUAAACAGGGCCAAUUUAGUACUUUUACCAACAAAAAAAAAGGGAAAAUUACAAAUAAUAUGGUAAUUUAAAAAAAAUGUUUGAUUUAUACGGUAAUCCAAAAUAAUUACUAAAAUAAGGUUUAUA